UGCCAUUCUGGGCACCCGAGUGUC
rnacentral:misc_RNA from 1 species